GGUUGAUUAGUUAAAUGAUAAUAUAAGUUUGUCAGGCUUAAGUUGUCCUAGUAGGAUAUCAUCCG
rnacentral:tRNA from 1 species